UGGGUUUGACAUGCACCAGAUAUCCCUAGAGAUAGGGCUUCCCUUGUGGUUGGUGUACAGGUGGUGCAUGGCUGUCGUCAGCUCGUGUCGUGAGAUGUUGGGUUAAGUCCCGCAACGAGCGCAACCCUUAUCCUACGUUGCCAGCGCGUUAUGGCGGGGGCUCGUGGGAGACUGCCGGGGUCAACUCGGAGGAAGGUGGGGAUGACGUGUCGUUACCUUA
rnacentral:misc_RNA from 1 species